GAUAAACUGAACACUUUCAAAAGAAAGCUGACUGGUUAAUCUUCUGUAAUACUAUUAAGAGGAUUGCCCUUUGAGGUUGAUAGUGAUAGGCCGCCCUAUGAUCAGUCACAUGCUUUAUC
rnacentral:sRNA from 1 species